rnacentral:snRNA from 1 species
AUCGCUUCUCGGCCUUUUGGCUAAGAUCAAGUGUAGUAUCUGUUCUUAUCAGUUUAAUAAUAAAAGGCUUGCAUGUGUUUCUAUCACAAAAGAUUUUUGUAUGUAAUUAAAUGAAACGGGACAUACUAGAAAACAGUUAAGCAGGCAAGAAGCCAACUCCAGGCCUGCAAUCCCA